rnacentral:rRNA from 1 species
GACGAACGCUGGCUGCGUGCCUAAUACAUGCAAGUAGAACGCAGUUGCGAACGGGUGAGUAACGCGUAGGGAACUGUCUGGUAGCGGGGGAACACUAUUGGAAAAGAAUGCUAAUAACGCAUACUACCAGAUGGACCCGCGUUGUAUUAGCUAGUUGGUGGGGUAACGGCUCACCAAGGCAACGAUACAUAGCCGACCUGGGAGGGUGAUCGGCCAACCUGGGACUGAGACACGGCCCAGACUCCUACGGGAGGCAGCAGUAGGGAAUCUUCGGCAAUGGACGGAAGUCUGACCGAGCAACGCCGCGUGAGUGAAGAAGGUUUUCGGAUCGUAAAGCUCUGUUGUUAGAGAAGCGGUAUCUAACCAGAAAGCCACGGCUAACUACGUGCCAGCAGCCGCGGUAAUUC